AUGUUUGCAAAUGAUGACAGUAUCUUUCCCCGUCUUAUCGACAAAUGAGGAAACAACUGCUUCUAUUCAAGCCAGUUUGUCUGAUGCAAAUUU